rnacentral:lncRNA from 1 species
UGGGAAUUGAUAUCUACAAGGGGGAGGGUCAGGGGAGGACUGUCUGAUAUCCUGACUUGCUGGGAUGGUGGAGAAGCUGGGAUGGGGGAGGCACAGAGAAGGCAUCUAGGAUGAGAAGGAACACACCCCUUUGACCCAUGCACACACGUGUGCUCGACUGUACUUAAUGAUCCCAGUUCACUGGGCAGUCCAGUUGGGUACAGCUUUCCCCAAAAAUCUGGAGCUUUGCAGGCAUGGAGAGAGGACAGCUAAUCAAAGCCCAUCUGUGGGAAAAUGGAAAAAUGUUUGGAAAGAGAUUCCAGUGGGUGGGUGGAUGGAAAGAAGGAAGUUAACCCAGGAAGUCAUCUUGCACAGAAAGUAAGGAGGCAGAGAGGGGUGGAGAGCUAUUCCAGGUGCAGAUACUCCCUGGGAUUCAAGGUGGCAGCAUGCAGGCUACGAGCCUGGAUAACUUGCACGUUUUAUUUCAAAAGAUCCAACAGGGAGGGCUUUUGUUAUCUGACCAAGAGAGGAGCGUUAGACUUUAGCCACAAUGCUUUUG